GCUAGGAUAACAGGUGUGAACCACUGCACCCGGUCCCUCCUUAGUUUUCACUUGGCUUUUGUAAAUGGGGUGGACGGAUGCGGGGUGGUUGAAGGGGUUGAGCAUUUGGAUCUUCUUAACAAAUCUAGAAUGCAAUUCAAACCCAUGGGGUCCCUAAUAGAAAUUGCAGAGACCCAGUAGAGCAUCUAAGAUGUUAGGCUUAGGUGAGAGUUUUGUCUCGUGUUACCUUUAUUGUAUGUAUUAGGUCUUUCCCGGCUAAGUAUAAAAUUAAAGUAUGUUUGAUAUGAAAACCACAUGAAAGCAUCCCUAGUCCAAAAGCUCAGAGAGAACUAUGGUAAUGUUCUUCUGUGUCCUUCUAGCUGGUCACCUUGGCUUUCUGGCAGGCUCUGUGCUCCUUAGCUCCACUUCUCUUUCUUUAAAAAAAAAAAUCAACUAAUUAAUUAACUAAUAUUAUUAUUUUUCUAAAGACAGGGCUUUGCCAAGUUGCCCUGGCUGGUCUCAAACUCCUAGGCUCAAGCAAUCCACCCACUUCAUCCUCCAAAGGUGCUGGGAUUACAGGUGUAGGCCACCACACCCAGCCUCCUCUUAUUUUUCUAACAGGGUUCCCACCUGAUCCAUAAACAGCCUGGUCCCCCUGCAAUGGGGGCCUGAGAGCCAACGCUAUGCCAUCUCUCCUCAAAGGCAUCUGUCCUGUCUGACAUGGCUAGGAGUCCCCCAAGCCACCACCAGGCUACCCUAUCACAGGCUUGCUAAGCUCCAUCCAGCAGUGUAACCAGGAUCUAAAAGCGGAUUUGCCUCACAUUUUGCUGUUGUUUCCAAAAAAAAGUAGCCCAAUACCACCUCCCUCUGUAAUGGCGGCUUGUUUUCUCUCUGGCCACACAGCAGACAGCAACUCCUUGCUUAACGUGAGAUAUUAUUGGCCGGGGGCGGUGGCUCACGCCUGUUAUCCUAGCACUUUGGGAGGCCGAGGCAGGCAGAUCGCCUGAGGUCAGGAGUUCGAGACCAACCUGGCCAACGUGGGGAAGCCCUAUCUCUAAUAAAAAUACAAAAAUUUGCUGGUCAUGGUGGCAUGUGCCUGUAAUUCCAGCUACUCAGGAGGCUGAGGCAGGAGAAUCGCUUGAACCCAGGAGAUAGAGGUUGAAGUGAGCCGAGAUCGCGCCGUUGCACUCCAGCCUGGGCAACAAGAGUGAAACUCCAUCUCAAAAAUAAAUAAAUAAAUAAACAAUUAAAAUAAAAUAAAGCGAGAUGUUAUUAAGCCUCCAAGGGGCGUGAUGAAUGUUACUGUCUUUAGGACGGGAAAAUCCAUUUGUUCCCUUCCGCAGUGGAGUGGAAGAACAGCACCUGAAGUUGGAAUCAACACUUAAAACAAUUUCUAAUCCUUUUUGUACUUUAAUAUUUUCGGGGACUGCUUACUAUUUAAUAAGUGCUCUUCCUGGGUUAAUCUUCUAUAAUUUAGCCAGAGGCCCAUUUGUUUGAUUUCUGUGACUUUUAAUUAUUCUGGCGGUCCCUGGGGUAGGAACAGCAGAGGUCUCUUAGAAUAGGCAUACUAUGAACAGCUGUGAUUAAAUGGUUUUGCAUUUUUCAUGAAACAGGUAUGAACUCCGACCCUAGCGAAUCGAAGGUUCUGAGGAAAGAUGGAAUUCUUGUUAGCGACUCUAUGGCAGCCUUUGCGUACAUUAGAGAUAGGUCAAUGAAUCAAAGCUCCCUAGAAUGCUGAUGGAUUUACUAAAGUCUUGUUAAUAAAUGUGCUGUUCAAUUAUAACACUCAGAUAACUAAAGGACAAUGACUUCAAGUUUGACAUGCCAACCACCGCUUCUAAGAUUCAGAAACACAGAGGCCUGAGUUCAGGCACAGUCGCAACCAGGCAGUCAGCAAGAGAACCACAUAAACAGACAAAGUCACACUAUUUAGGAGUUGAGCUCCACAGAUAUUGUUCACUUUUGAAAAGCAGAUACCUGAGGAAUGCAUUUCCCAGCUCUAAAAUUUGGGAAGGAACUAGAAUUAUUGAAUUCCAACCCUGGUUGGAAGAAAAAUGAGCCAGAAGAUCACUCAGUAAACAAGACAGAUGAUGCCCCAUGAAGACAGAACCACUUUCUGGGUCAUUAGUGUUAUUCCUAAUGGUUGCCAAGGAUUCCCUUGUUAGUCUUCCCCAUGAGGAUCAAUCAGACUCAGCCCUCAUGAAUUAACAGAGCCAAAAGGCUUAUACCAAGGCCGGCCACACCACGGGGACCUCUUCAUCAAGGGGAAGAUAAUUUCAUGAGGACGAAAGACAUCUUAAUGAAAGUGAAAGUACAAGGUAUUUACCAGGAGAUAUUCACACCGGAUGCCGUGUCUCACACCUGCAAUCCCAGCUUCACACCAGAUGCAAUGGCUCACACCUGUAACCCCAGCACCUGGGGAGGCCAAGGCAGGAGGAUCACUUUCAGCCAGGAGUUUAAGACCAACCCGGGAAAAAAGACCUCAUCUCUACAAAAAAAUAUAAUAAAAAGUUAGCCGGGCAUGGUAGUAUAUGCCUGUAGUCCCAGCUACUCAGGAGGCUGAGGUGACAGGAUUGUUUGAGCCCAGAAAUUCAAGGCCGCAGCACGCUAUGAUUGUGCCACUGCACUCCAGUCUGGGUGAAAAAGGGAGACUCUCUCUUUCUCGCUGUCUCUCUCACACGUUCUCUCUCUCUCUCUCU
rnacentral:lncRNA from 1 species